rnacentral:piRNA from 1 species
UAUAAAGCCAGUGAUAUCGCCUCUGAUAU